UCCCGGCGGUCCAAGUCGUAGCCACAAUUAUUGGGUCUAAAACAUCCGUAGCUUGUUUCGUAAGUCUCUUGUGAAAUCUAACAUCUUAAGUGUUAGGCAUGCAAGAGAUACUGCGAGGCUAGAGACUGGGGGACGUAAGAAGUACAUUCAAGGUAGUGGUAAAAUACGUUGAUCUUGUGUGGACUAACAAUAGCGAAGGCAUCUUACGACAACAGUUCUGACAGUGAGGGAUGAAGGCUAGGGGCGCAAAAAG
rnacentral:rRNA from 1 species